UACGGGGGGGGCAAGCGUUGUUCGGAAUUACUGGGCGUAAAGGGUUCGUAGGUGGCUGGCUAAGUCAGACGUGAAAUCCCUCAGCUCAACUGGGGAACUGCGUCUGAGACUGGCGAGCUUGAGUGCAGGAGAGGAACGCGGAAUUCCAGGUGUAGCGGUGAAAUGCGCAGAUAUCAGGAGGAACACCGGUGGCGAAGGCGGGUCUCUGGGCCGAUACUGACGCUGAGGAGCGAAAGCGUGGGGAGCAAACAGG
rnacentral:rRNA from 1 species